rnacentral:rRNA from 1 species
UACGGGGGGGGCAAGCGUUGUUCGGAAUUACUGGGCGUAAAGGGUUCGUAGGUGGCCAACUAAGUCAGACGUGAAAUCCCUCGGCUCAACCGGGGAACUGCGUCUGAUACUGGAUGGCUUGAGUUCGGGAGAGGGAUGCGGAAUUCCAGGUGUAGCGGUGAAAUGCGUAGAUAUCUGGAGGAACACCGGUGGCGAAGGCGGCAUCCUGGACCGAUACUGACGCUGAGGAGCGAAAGCCAGGGGAGCAAACGGG